GUAGAAGGUAUAGAUGUCGGCACUGGCAGGCUAGUCUGAAUAGCAACAUAGAGGUCCCUCUAUGUGGUGGACAUCAGCCCGACGCCUGAUUCCCCCGUAACAUCUUCUGCCUCCCCGCUCCUACCUCCAUUUGGUCAUCAGAUGCCACCGGAGUGACAUAUCUGCAGCUGACAAUUUUCUACCUAAGGAUAAAUGCUGUUUGCCGCCCCUGAACGAGCUGCACGGAGAACUUGUCUGCUUGCCGAUUUCAACUUAAGCAAUCUCCCCUUUGGUCGAUUUCUAGUCUCCUUGUUUCUCCUUUUUGAAGAAUUAUGUAGCAUGAUGCAGCUUGAGUCAGCCACCAUCUUGAACUAGCAAUGAACUUUGCUUUCUACAUAUAAAUACAGAUAGCAAUCACACCCCAAUCAGCGUGCAGGCUUCAGGGCAUCAUCUUUGCAACUCUAACGUUCCCAUUACGAUAAUGUGAUUUUCACUCAGUCUAUAAUAUCGCCUGCCAUGAA